rnacentral:lncRNA from 1 species
AUGGUAGAGAAUACAUUGAGUUUGGCUCAUGGAAAGAAUAUGAGUCCCAGCACAGUUGAAGAAUAUGGCACAGUUGCCUCAGUAUUGAUAGCUCACUCUACUGGGAGCAUCUCUCUGGGUGAGAGUAAGAAUUAUUUUAAAAGUCCUGCAAGUAAUUCUGAUAUACCGUAUGUCUUUCCAUUAGAAGUAACAAAUGUAAGUCAUAGGUUCCUAGAAUUUUAUAGGAAUUAGUGUUACUGAGAUUAUAAUAAUUAAUAUUGAAUCUACUCUUGUGAGAUUAUUUUAUUUCUUAAGCAAGUUAGAGUGAACGUUUUCAGUACUUUUCCUGUGAACUUAGCAGUUUUCAAGAUGUUUUUAUUUCUUCGGCUUUUCUCUAACCAGACUAACCAUUUUCAAGUACGGCACGCUAACUGUAUGUGCAUUGUUGUACAACAGACCUCUAGAACUUCAGCUUGCAGAACUGAAACUUUACACCCUUGAAGAAUUUCUUCCUUCCCCUUAGCCUCUGGUAAUGACAAUUCCACUUUCUAAGAAUUUUACUAUUUUAAAUAUCUCAUAUACAUAGGAUCUUUCAGUGUUUGAGAUUUUGUGAGUGUCUUAUUUCACAUACUGUAGUGUCAUCAGGGUGUUGUAGAAUAUGACAGGAUUGCCUUCUCUUUAGAGUCUAAAUAAUGUUCCAUUGUACAGGCACGCCUCAUUUUAUUGCACUUCAUUUUAUUGUGCGUCUCAGAUAGUGCACUUUUUUUUUUUUUUUACAAAUUGAAGGUUUAUGACAACCCUGCAUCAAACACAUCUGUUGGUGCCAUUUUUUCCAACAGUAUUUGUUCACUUCUUGUCUUUGUGUCACAUUUUGAUAAUUCUCCCAGUAUUUUAAGCUUUUUCAUUAUUAUAUUUGUUAUGGUGAUUUGAUAUUCCUAUUGCGAAAAGUUAUGACCCACUAAAGGCUCAGAUGGUUAAUAUUUUUUAGCAAUAAAGUAUCUUUUAAUUGAGAUUUAUGCAUCUUUUAGACACAGUGGUAUUGCACAUAUAAUAGACUGUAGUAUAGUGUCAAUAUAGCUUUUAUAUGCAUUGGAAAACCAAAAAAAUCACAUAACUCAGUUUGUUGGCAAUAUUUAGUUUAUUGUGGUGGUCUGGAACCAAACCUGCAAUAGCUCCCAGGUAUGCUAACUUUAUAUGUAUACUAUUUAUGCAUUUAUUUUUUAAAAUUUAUUUUAUUGAAGUGAUAGUUUUUUCUUCAGUGGUUUUGAAGUUGAGAUAUAUUUGACUUAUACUGUGUUAGUUUCUGCUGCACAGUAAAGUAAUUCAGUUUACACAUGUAUAUAUUCUUUUUCACAUUCCUUUCCAUUGUUUAUUACAGCAUAUUGAAUAUAGUUCCCUGUGCUAUAUAGUAGGACCUUGUUUAUUCAUUUUAUAUAUAAUAAUUUCCAUCUAGUAAUCCCAAACUCCCAACCCAUCCUAUCCAUUUAUUUAUUAAUGGGCAUUUAGGCUGCUUCCACUUCUUGGCUAUUGUGAAUAAUGCUGUAGAGAAGAUGGGUGUAUAAAUAUCUCUUCAAGAUCUGUUUUCAGUUCUUUUGUAUAUAUACCCAGAGGUAGGAUUACUGGAUCAUUUGAUAAUUCUGUUUUUAAUUUUUUUAGUAACUUCCAUACAGUUUCUCAUAACAACUGCACCAUUUUACAUUUCCACCAACAGUACACAAGGGUUCUACUUUCUCUGCAUCCUCACCAACACUUGUUAUUUUAUGUUUUGAUUUGGUUUUGUCUUGUAGUGACCACCCUAACCAUUUCUAGGUCUAUAGCUUACUGCUAACAUGAUGUUAGGCCUUUAUUUACUUUUGAAUCACUUUCUAAAGAAACAAAAUAGUUAUUGCAAAUCUUCACAAACUGUUCCCUGACCUCAAAUACUAUAAUACUAAUUGAGGCUAGUGUUCUAAACAUAUUACAUUGAGUGUGUAAAACUGGCCAUUUGAAUUCCUUCAUACUUUAUCAAACAUGGUCCUCUUUACUUUUGCAAUUCAUAUGAUACUACAUUACACAUCGGCACCUUCUAAGGCAAAGAUAAAAUGCUUUUUUCUGUACCUCUAAUUUCUAAAACGGUAAGCUUGCAUGAUCAUAAUGGUGAUUGCUGUCACUGAGUAGCUUAUCUUGUUUCCAAGCAGUCUGUAAAUGCCACAUCCUCAGAUGCAUUACUUCAGCGUAUACCUAGGCUGUUGCUUUGAUGCUCUCUAACAUGGUGUUCUUCAUUUCACUUACCCUACUGCAUCCGUCUGUGAAUUUUUCUGUCAUCUAUUCUCCACAAAUUUCUUGCCUAAACAGUGUUGUGUUGCCAAAAACUUUGCUUCAGUGUGGGUAGACCAGCUCUCUUACAAUGCCCUAUAUUGAAUAAACUAGCCAUUUAAUAGUAAGUAUGCCUUUGGGUGUGCUUACAGUCUUAUUCAAAACAGCAGAUAUAAUGCUUAUAGUUCAUCUAGUUUUAAAUAGCUGAAUUAAUUUUGGCAGUUUCUAUUUUGCAGACAUGUAGAUUGAUUGGGAGCCAAAUGUUGUUUCUAAUUUGUCUUGAACUCUUCCAAAGAUCAUACUGCCAUGUUGUAAGGUUGGAGGAAAAGCCACUUUGAAUAUGAGGACAGAUCUCUAUUCAAGGCUGGACUCUGCCACUUGGCUGACAAUUUAUGUUUCUAAUCCUCCAAUGCACAAAUCUCAUAAGUAAGUUUAGAUAGUGAUACAUAAAUUUUUAUUUUAAAGGCUUUACUGAUACUGUAAGCUUGUGUUUUUAGCAAAUUUUUUAACCAGUUCUACACAUUAGAAUUUUCCUUUUACAAAUAGUGAAGAUGAAGGGAUUUUUGUUGUUGUUUAGUCGCUAAAUCACGUCUGACUUUUUGCAGCCCAAUGUACUGUAGCCCACCAGGUUCCACUGUCCAUGGGAUUUUCCAAGCAAGCAUACUGGAGUGGCUCGCCAUGUCCUACUCCAGGGGAUCUUCCCGCCCCAGGGAUUGAACCUGUGUCUUCUGCUUGGCAGGCAGGUUUUUUACCACUAAGCCACCUGGGAAGGGAUUUUUAGACUCUGGUAAUACUUUUAUCACUUGUAUCUGACAGGAGGUCUCUUCUGAUGAGUUUGUUUCUUAUAGUUUGUCCAUUAAUUGAAAAAGUCAGUACAGCUCAUAAAAGAUGAUGUAUAUGUUCCACUAACAUCUUAACUCAAAACAUAAAUGUCUUUGGGUUAGGGCCAAGGCCUUUCCUUUGAAUGGGUGUGCUGACUGGAACAAUGCGUCUUUCUUAAAUCUAUUACAUUUAUAGCAAAUCAUUUUCAGUUUAAAAUUUAUUUUAUUGAAGUGAUAGUUUUUCUUCAGUGGUUUUGAAGUUGAGAUAUAUUUGACUUAUACUGUGUUAGUUUCUGCUGCACAGUAAAGUAAUUCAGUUUACACAUGUAUAUAUUCUUUUUCACAUUCCUUUCCAUUGUUUAUUACAGCAUAUUGAAUAUAGUUCCCUGUGCUAUAUAGUAGGACCUUGUUUAUUCAUUUUAUAUAUAAUAAUUUCCAUCUAGUAAUCCCAAACUCCCAACCCAUCCUAUCCAUUUAUUUAUUAAUGGGCAUUUAGGCUGCUUCCACUUCUUGGCUAUUGUGAAUAAUGCUGUAGAGAAGAUGGGUGUAUAAAUAUCUCUUCAAGAUCUGUUUUCAGUUCUUUUGUAUAUAUACCCAGAGGUAGGAUUACUGGAUCAUUUGAUAAUUCUGUUUUUAAUUUUUUUAGUAACUUCCAUACAGUUUCUCAUAACAACUGCACCAUUUUACAUUUCCACCAACAGUACACAAGGGUUCUACUUUCUCUGCAUCCUCACCAACACUUGUUAUUUUAUGUUUUUGAUUUGGUUUUGUCUUGUAGUGACCACCCUAACCAUUUCUAGGUCUAUAGCUUACUGCUAACAUGAUGUUAGGCCUUUAUUUACUUUUGAAUCACUUUCUAAAGAAACAAAAUAGUUAUUGCAAAUCUUCACAAACUGUUCCCUGACCUCAAAUACUAUAAUACUAAUUGAGGCUAGUGUUCUAAACAUAUUACAUUGAGUGUAAAACUGGCCAUUUGAAUUCCUUCAUACUUUAUCAAACAUGGUCCUCUUUACUUUUGCAAUUCAUAUGAUACUACAUUACACAUCGGCACCUUCUAAGGCAAAGAUAAAAUGCUUUUUUCUGUACCUCUAAUUUCUAAAACGGUAAGCUUGCAUGAUCAUAAUGGUGAUUGCUGUCACUGAGUAGCUUAUCUUGUUUCCAAGCAGUCUGUAAAUGCCACAUCCUCAGAUGCAUUACUUCAGCGUAUACCUAGGCUGUUGCUUUGAUGCUCUCUAACAUGGUGUUCUUCAUUUCACUUACCCUACUGCAUCCGUCUGUGAAUUUUUCUGUCAUCUAUUCUCCACAAAUUUCUUGCCUAAACAGUGUUGUGUUGCCAAAACUUUGCUUCAGUGUGGGUAGACCAGCUCUUUACAAUGCCCUAUAUUGAAUAAACUAGCCAUUUAAUAGUAAGUAUGCCUUUGGGUGUGCUUACAGUCUUAUUCAAAACAGCAGAUAUAAUGCUUAUAGUUCAUCUAGUUUUAAAUAGCUGAAUUAAUUUUGGCAGUUUCUAUUUUGCAGACAUGUAGAUUGAUUGGGAGCCAAAUGUUGUUUCUAAUUUGUCUUGAACUCUUCCAAAGAUCAUACUGCCAUGUUGUAAGGUUGGAGGAAAAGCCACUUUGAAUAUGAGGACAGAUCUCUAUUCAAGGCUGGACUCUGCCACUUGGCUGACAAUUUAUGUUUCUAAUCCUCCAAUGCACAAAUCUCAUAAGUAAGUUUAGAUAGUGAUACAUAAAUUUUAUUUUAAAGGCUUUACUGAUACUGUAAGCUUGUGUUUUUAGCAAAUUUUUAACCAGUUCUACACAUUAGAAUUUUCCUUUUACAAAUAGUGAAGAUGAAGGGAUUUUUGUUGUUGU